AUUGAACGCUGGCGGCAGGCCUAACACAUGCAAGUCGAGCGGAUGAAGGGAGCUUGCUCCUGGAUUCAGCGGCGGACGGGUGAGUAAUGCCUAGGAAUCUGCCUGGUAGUGGGGGAUAACGUCCGGAAACGGGCGCUAAUACCGCAUCCGUCCUGAGGGAGAAAGUGGGGGAUCUUCGGACCUCACGCUAUCAGAUGAGCCUAGGUCGGAUUAGCUAGUUGGUGGGGUAAAGGCCUACCAAGGCGACGAUCCGUAACUGGUCUGAGAGGAUGAUCAGUCACACUGGAACUGAGACACGGUCCAGACUCCUACGGGAGGCAGCAGUGGGGAAUAUUGGACAAUGGGCGAAAGCCUGAUCCAGCCAUGCCGCGUGUGUGAAGAAGGUCUUCGGAUUGUAAAGCACUUUAAGUUGGGAGGAAGGGAAGUAAGUUAAUACCUGGCUGUUUUGACGUUACCAACAGAAUAAGCACCGGCUAACUUCGUG
rnacentral:rRNA from 1 species